GAUGAAGAACGUAGCGAAAUGCGAUAAGUAAUGUGAAUUGCAGAAUUCAGUGAAUCAUCGAAUCUUUGAACGCACAUUGCGCCCCUUGGUAUUCCGGGGGGCAUGCCUGUUCGAGCGUCAUUAUAACCCCUCAAGCUCAGCUUGGUGUUGGGGCCUGCCAACUGGCAGCCCCUAAAAUCAGUGGCGGCGCCAUCUGGCUCUAAGCGUAGUAAUUUCUCUCGCUAUAGGGUCCCGGUGGAUGCUUGCCAACAACCCCCAAUUUUCUAUGGUUGACCUCGGAUCAGGUAGGGAUACCCGCUGAACUUAAGCAUAUCAAUAAGCGGAGGA
rnacentral:misc_RNA from 1 species